rnacentral:sRNA from 1 species
CUUCCUCGAUCUGCUGGGGGCAGAUGAAGUGGAUGUGAGCGUCCAUGCCGCCGGCUGUAACUAUCUUGCCUUCGGCGGCAAUGGCCUCGGUCGAGGGCCCGAUGAUGAUGUCGAUAUUGGGCUGGGUAUCGGGAUUGCCGGCCUUGCCGAUGCCGGCGAUCAGCCCAUUCUUGAGACCGAUAUCAGCCUUGUAGAUUCCGGUAUGAUCGACGAUCAGCGCGUUGGUGAUAACCGUGUCGACGGCGCCCUCUGUGCGGGUGCGUUGAGACUGGCCCAUGCCGUCGCGAAUG